rnacentral:lncRNA from 1 species
GGCAGGUGGAGCGCGGGACGGCCCGGUGCGAGCCCCGCGGCCCCUCGGCGCGCCCAGGCCCGGAUCUCGGCCUGCGCCGUGCCGGGGACCAGAGGCGCCUGCGGAAACGCGGCGGCCGGGGAAGGAGGCACCGGCAGGGGCCCCGUGCCGCGCGGCCCCGGGCGCCCUGGAGAAUCUGGCCUCCUGGGCUGCCUGCCGGAACGCCUAGAGAAAGAUGCUUUGAAGGAGGGAAGCAGGGAGGAAAGGAAGACUUCAUAGAAAGCGACCGCCGAUCCGAAAGCUGCCUCUCCCAGCCCUCCUUCCACUCUCCGAGACCCAGUAUUUCAAUUUUCUGCUAAGCAUUAAAACAAUCUCCCCUUACUCCUCCUCUACAUAGCACAUUUUUUUAAACCAAAGAAACACCCCAAUGCCCAACAAUAAAGAGGAAUUAUUACAAUCAAGAGGAAUUGUUGCAAUUCUUCAUGCCUGCCUCUGUGCUAAGAGUGUAAGACGGCUAUCCUAAAUCCUCAUUAUCUACUUAGGCCGCCUUGCCUGAGCCCCCUCUGUCUAUUAUGAAGAAAGCUUCCAAGAGAUCCAAUCACAGAGAAAAAAUAAAUUUUCUAAUGGCUGCAGGG